rnacentral:rRNA from 1 species
GACGAACGCUGGCGGCGUGCUUAACACAUGCAAGUCGAACGGAAAGGCCCUGCUUUUGUGGGGUGCUCGAGUGGCGAACGGGUGAGUAACACGUGAGUAACCUGCCCUUGACUUUGGGAUAACUUCAGGAAACUGGGGCUAAUACCGGAUAGGAGCUCCUGCUGCAUGGUGGGGGUUGGAAAGUUUCGGCGGUUGGGGAUGGACUCGCGGCUUAUCAGCUUGUUGGUGGGGUAGUGGCUUACCAAGGCUUUGACGGGUAGCCGGCCUGAGAGGGUGACCGGCAACAUUGGGACUGAGAUAUGGCCCAGACUCCUACGGGAGGCAGAAGUGGGGAAUAUUGCACAAUGGGCGGAAGCCUGAUGCAGAAACGCCGCGUGCGGGAUGACGGCCUUCGGGUUGUAAACCGCUUUCGCCUGUGACGAAGCGUGAGUGACGGUAAUGGGUAAAGAAGCACCGGCUAACUACGUGC